CUGGAGGCAGCUCUGCAGGUGGGGUGUCACCUGAGCGGGACAGAGGGGCAGAAUCCCCCCCCAAAUGCUGCCCACGGCGCUUUACAUGCGGCGCUUUCUCGUGGGGGAGCGGCGGCGGGCGCGUGGCCGGUGCAGGCGGCGCCGUGCCCGGGGCUGCCCCUCAGAGCCCUCGCCACAGCGCCCCCUGUGGGCCGGGGGUGUCAGGCCGUUCCUUCCCUCACGGGGAACCGGGAAUAGCACUGGCUCCUUCUCUUUCUUCUCCUUCUCCUCCUUCUCCGUGCUCCACGUGUGAAUGCCUUCGGGUUUGUGUUUCUCCGAGCCUCUGCCGCGGGCGCGGAGCGCCGGGAGCAGACGCGACUCCAGCUCCGGGCCCCCCCAGCCCGUUCUGUGCUCUCCCCACCCGGACUGAGUUACGGACAAAAGGUGAAGAUCUUUGGAUUGCCUGCAAAUCCAUCGCUCAGUUAUGUGGAAACGGUCUUAGGAUAAGUGGAAGGUUUUGCUGCAGAUGAAAUAGUAUGAAGGUGUUUGGAAUAACAGUCAGAUUCUAGGAACAGUCAUGAAAACUGCAAUCCUGAAAGUAAGAUUUUUCUAAUGUUAAAUUUCAUAUUUGUAUCCUGUGAAUUCUAGUUCCUUUAUUUACUAUUUCAAACAAUGUGUGAAUUAAAUAUCUGUAAUUUCUUGGGAGCUACAAUCUCAGUGGAAAGGAAGCAGUUGUUGUUUUACAUUAAUUACAUGCAUUACUUUUCUUUAUUCCUGGCUCUGCACCUCUCACCUGUGCACGUUCAGCACACAGGGUGGGCUCAGCUCUCCUUCCACUCCCAGGAGACCUGUUGACCUGUGGGGAAAAAUCGGAUUUUUGAGUUUUGCUUUCCGUUUGAUGGCACCACACUCGCGUUGUGGAGAACAGAGCAGCCAGGUUGGAAGCUGCAGUGAUUCCUCAGUGCUCACAGAGACAAGUGUAUUUCAAACUGUAUUUCAGCAGGGAAGGGGGCAUUAUGCCAUUCAUGUAGAGACAUUAAUGUAGAGAAGUAUUCCAAAUAAAUACAAAUCUGGACAACAGCGGGGAGGACACAGAUUUGCAAUGUCUAAAUUAAUAUUACACAGAUGGAAAAAUACUGCUGGUAAUUUGAAGGCUGUAAGCGUGUAUCAAACUUUAUUUAAAAUGUUCAAUACCAAGAGUGUGUGUGGCCUCUUUUCUGACUGAAAUAUAUCAAGUGAAAUAUGUGAAGUCUGAAAUAAAUCAAUAUCAAAUUCUGAAA